rnacentral:lncRNA from 1 species
GAAGUUUCUACACACUUUGAUCAAUCACUUCUCUUGAUUCUCACACAUUCAAGCCUUGUUCUUACCUUGUUCUUGAGAUUUUGUGGAAUUGUAUAGUGAUUUGGGUUCUAGAAACCGAAAUCCCUAUACUUUGAAGCAUUUCUCUUCUCAUAUAGCAUCUAGGAGACAAGGGAUCCAUCUUGUGCUUUUGGUUUGGCUCCAAAAAGAGUCAAACCCGUGGGUAUAUCACUUGUUCUCCACUCUUUGCUCUCUUUUAUUUGUUAUUUAUGAUGUUCAUGGCUUGUAGUUGUGUAAAUAUGAGUUGUGAGUAGUUUAAUUUGGGGCUAGGGCAUAGCCUUAGCCAAACUUGUGCACAAAACAAUGUAAUCUUUAUGCUCUUUGAUGUUUAUGCAUGUUUUGAAUCUUUUGGCUACUAUACUUUAAUGUGUCCUAAGUGUGUUCAUAGAUUUAUCACCUAGAAGCAUGCUUUAGGAAGUUAAUGAAUCGGAAACAUGAACUUGAUAAACUCUUGAUUCCGUGAGCAUAUGUAGCUAAAUAGGUGGUGACUUAGCUUAUUCCUACGGGAAGAACUAAGUUGCUUGAAUUUCUUACCUUGAAAUUAAAGCAUGAUGUUGUGAGUUUAGGUUCCGGAAGAAUUUAGGCUCAUGGCACCAUAGACCAUUUAUAAUCCGGAAGAUUUGAAUGGUAUAAAGGUUGUGUAAUUUAGCUUUGCUUUGGAAGAGAUUGUUAAAUUGCAUGACUAGUUGGUUUCUUGGUAGCUUCAUCAAAGCACUAAGGGGGAAUUUAUCAAAACAUGUUGUUACAUUAAAUUUGGGUUACAUUGUGUGCAUGAGUAAGGCUAGGUGUGAUGCCUAAGCCUCUAUUUCUCUCUUAUAUCAAAAUCUCUAUUUUUAUUUGCAUACUUUAUUUUUGUGUACUUUUAAUUUGUUCGCAUAAAAAUUAAAAUCAAUCAAGCCGUUCACUACCAUAAUUGUUAAUACCAUCCUCAUGAUCUUUAGCUUCCAAAGGGCUAAGGUUGUGACUUUGUAAAAAGGUAGAUUGCAUAAUUUUUCUAGGCUUUCUUGCGGUAAUCUAGCUAGGGUGGAGUUUCCCUCAAUCCCUUGGGUACGAUACUCUACACUUUCCCUUACUAAAACUUGACCUUCUACACUUGGAAGUAAGGAACAUCAUACACAAAUUUGCACACACUUUCAUACUCAAUGAUGUCUCCAACAAGUUUUUGGCGCCGUUGCCGGGGAUUGAGAGAAUUUGUGUAG